ACAGGGUUGGCACUUUUGUUCCUAUAAUUUAUGUUUUCCGAACAAAUUGCUGCACAACUGGUGGAUCUUUAUCAUCUUCUUUUUAUGUGUUCUAUUAACUUCCAGGUUUCCUUACUACUUAAAGAUAGCUUUAUUGACUGUUUUCCUACCAAGGACCGGCCGUUUAUUAAGCUGUUCGUAGACACACAACUAUUCAGCGUUCUAUCAGAUGCUUGACUGUCGAGCUUCGAACACGAAACAUAACAUUAUCUGAU